UACGUAGGGGGGCAAGCGUUGUCCGGAUUUAUUGGGCGUAAAGAGCGUGUAGGCGGCCAGGUAGGUCAGCUGUGAAAACUCGAGGCUCAACCUCGAGACGUCGGUUGAAACCAUCUGGCUAGAGUCCGGAAGAGGAGAGUGGAAUUCCUGGUGUAGCGGUGAAAUGCGCAGAUAUCAGGAAGAACACCCGUGGCGAAGGCGGCUCUCUGGGACGGUACUGACGCUGAGACGCGAAAGCGUGGGGAGCGAACAGG
rnacentral:rRNA from 1 species